GAGGGUAUAGUUCUGUGGUAAAGCACCUGCCUAGCAUGCAUGAUGUCCUGGGUUCAAUCUCCGGUACCUCCA
rnacentral:tRNA from 1 species